rnacentral:rRNA from 1 species
UGGGGAAUAUUGGACAAUGGGCGCAAGCCUGAUCCAGCAAUGCCGCGUGUGUGAAGAAGGCCUUCGGGUUGUAAAGCACUUUUAUCAGGAGCGAAACGCUGUCGGCUAAUACCCGGCGGAACUGACGGUACCUGAGGAAUAAGCACCGGCUAACUUCGUGCCAGCAGCCGCGGUAAUACGAAGGGUGCAAGCGUUAAUCGGAAUUACUGGGCGUAAAGCGUGCGUAGGCGGUUUCUUAAGUCUGCUGUGAAAUCCCCGGGCUCAACCUGGGAAUGGCAGUGGAUACUGGGAGGCUAGAGUGUGUCAGAGGGUGGUGGAAUUCCCGGUGUAGCGGUGAAAUGCGUAGAGAUCGGGAGGAACAUCAGUGGCGAAGGCGGCCACCUGGGACAACACUGACGCUGAGGCACGAAAGCGUGGGGAGCAAACAGGAUUAGAUACCCUGGUAGUCCACGCCCUAAACGAUGCGAACUGGAUGUUGGUCUCAACUCGGAGAUCAGUGUCGAAGCUAACGCGUUAAGUUCGCCGCC